rfam:Triticum aestivum genome assembly, contig: Triticum_aestivum_CS42_TGACv1_scaffold_221074_3B
CGGCCGAAAAUAUUUGUCAUCAAAAUGGAUAAAAAUAGAUGUAUCUAUAACUAAUAUAUGUCUAGAUACAUCUUUUUUUGAUCAUUUUGAUGACAAGUAUUUCCGGACG